rnacentral:rRNA from 1 species
AUGCAAGUCGAACGAACCUUUUAGGUGAGUGGCGCACGGGUGUGUAACACGUGGGACUAUACACAUCGGUAAGGAACAACACAGAGAAAUUUGUGCUAAUACCUUAUAAUGACUCCGGUCCAAAGAUUUAUCGCCGAUGGAUUAGCCCGCGCUAGAUUAGUUUGUUGGUGAGGUAAAAGCUCACCAAGACUACGAUCUAUAGCUGGUCUUAGAGGAUGAUCAGCCACACUGGUACUGAGACACGGACCAGACUCCUACGGGAGGCAGCAGUGAGGAAUAUUGCGCAAUGGGGGAAACCCUGACGCAGCCAUGCCGCGUGAAUGACGAAGGCCCUAGGGUUGUAAAAUUCUUUCAGAUGCGAAGAUAAUGACGGUAACAUCAGAAGAAGCUCCGGCUAAAUUCGUGCCAGCAGCCGCGGUAAUACGAAUGGAGCGAGCGUUGUUCGGAAUCAUUGGGCGUAAAGCGUAUGUAGGCGGACAUGAAAGUCAGAAGUGAAAUCCCAGGGCUUAACCCUGGAACUGCUUUUGAAACUCCAUGUCUUGAAUCCCGGAGGGGUGAGGGGAAUUCCGAGUGUAGAGGUGAAAUCCGCAGAUGUUCGGAGGGACACCAGAGGCGUAGGCGCCUCACUGGACGGGUAUCGACGCUGAGAUACGAAAGCGUGGGGAGCAAACAGGAUUAGAUACCCUGGUAGUCCACGCCGUAAACGAUGUGUGCUAGUUGUCGGGCUCUAAGAGUUCGGUGACGCCGCUAACGCAUUAAGCACACCGCCUGGGGAGUACGGCCGCAAGGUUAAAACUCAAAGGAAUUGACGGGGACCCGCACAAGCGGUGGAGCAUGUUCUUUAAUUCGAAGCAACGCGAAGAAACUUACCUACACUUGACAUACUCGUCGG